rnacentral:lncRNA from 1 species
CUGGAUCUGCUUGCUGCGUUCGCCAAUCUUCCGCGUUCGUAGUUGCGUUGUCGAGAAAAUUCUGGAUUCCGCGUCUGGAUCUGCUUCCACGUCUGCUCUAUCGCGAUUUUGGAUUUCGCGUCUGCGUCCGGUGACGCGAUCUGCAUUUUGGAUUUUGCGUAUCGGUCACGCGUUUGCGUAUUUUGAAUCUGCAGUUGUUCACACAUUUGCAGCUGUUCACGCAUUUACAGUUGUUCACAAUUUUGGAUCUGCAUUUGCGUUCAUAUUGCAGUUGAUUGCUGCAUUUGGGAUUGAUUCCUGCAUUUGGGAUUACUCGUCAUCAUAUUGCGAUCUGCAGAUUUCCGAGUUCUUGCAAUCUGCGUCGUCUUGAUUUCUCGCCGAUCAUUCAAAUCUGUAAGUUUUUUUUCUUUUUUUUCUUGAAAUUAAAUCUGUGAUUGCUUGUGUGAUUUCUCGCCGCAUGUGGACUUGCUUUGUGUGAUUAGUUUUGUCAAGUUUAAUAAUAAUACUCUUUUUCAUUUUCAAGAUAGAACUUUUGAAAUGAUUUUGGUUUAAUUAUUUUCUUUUCAUACAAGUUUGUUUUCUGGCUUGUUGGAGGUAUUACUUAUUUUUCUAAAACAUUAUUCUCAAUGUUUUGGUUUGAAGUGAAUUUUGUCUAUCUUGAGUUAAUUCUCUAUUGAUUAAUAUCCUCCCCUGGGUCAGUAUCUUGUCUGUCCAGAAUAUAUAUCCUGUCCAAAAUCAGCUUGCUAGUUUUGGUUGAUGAUAUUCAGUUGUGUAUCUGAAUAUAACUGUUGUUCAUUUACUUCAUUAUCAUAUAUUUGUGUUCUAUUUUUAUGCUUGUAUAAGGAAUUGCUUUCAUCAGUCUGAGUAUUCUCAGCUCUCACAGAUGUUUCCUGAUUUUGAUCUGCGUUGUCCUUAUUUGAGAAAGAUCUUCCAUCAGACUGAACAUCCUCAGCUAUCUCUAAUGGAUGAUUCCUAGAUGGACCUGAUUUGUCUUGUUUAGAAAUAAAUAACUGAACUUUUAUGUUUUGAUUAUAUUCUGAUUUUUCUCCAGUUUGUACUGAAUUGUUUUUAUUUUUUGAACUGGAAUUGUUAUUCUCAGUCUGAAUAUGCAUAUAUAUAAUCUCCCAUUGUAUUGAUCAGGUAUGAUUGAUCUUCUAAGAUCAGAAUCUGAAUUUGUUAAUUUUCCAAAAUUUUGGAAGGUUUUGCUUUUGAGAGACCACACUUCUCUAGGAUACCUAAGGCAUACUUCCUUUGUGAGAGAUAUAUUCCUUUGUUGGAAUAUGAAACUUCAAUACCUAAGAAGUAAUUUAAUCUCCCUAAAUCUUUUAGUUUGAAUUGAUUUUCUAAUUGGAUUUUAAUUAUUCCAAUUUCUAAUUCAUUACUUUCUAUAAUUAUUAUAUCAUCUAUAUAAACUAUGAGAUAUAAACUAUGAAGCUUGAGUGAAGCCAAUCUCUAAGAUUACUCCUCUUAGUUUCUCAAACCAGUUCCUUGAGGCUUGUUUUAAGCCAUAUAAGGAUUUAUUGAGUUUACAUACUCUUUUAUCUCCUUUUUUUAGAAGGCCUCGUGAUGGUUAAUUUUAAGUAUACUUCUUCAUGCAAUUCUUCAUGAAGAAAAACAUUAUUAACAUCUAAUUGGUAUAAAUUCUAUCCUUUCAUGGAUGUUAUGGCUAUGAUAUUUUUUAUAGUUACCAUCUUGACCACUGGUGCAAAGGUUUUAAAAAAAUCAAAACUUUUUUUUUGUGUGAAUCCUUUAGCCACUAGCCUUGUUUUAUGCCUUUCUAUUUGACCAUUUGGCUUAUACUUAAUUUUAUAUAUCAAUUUAGAUCCUAUAGACUUCCUAUCGAUCUUUUGGAAGAUUAACCAAUGUCCAUGUAUUGUUUUCUAAAAGAGCAUUCAUCUCUUUUUGCAUUGCUUCAACCCAAUUUGGGUCUUUUGAAACUAUGAGAAGGAUAAAGAAUUAAGAAUUAGUUUAAACUGUUGUUAGUUGAGUUAGUUAGUUAACUGAUUAUUAGUAUUGGGUUGUAGUAUAUAAGUAGAGGAUAUUAUUGAUAAUUGAUUGAAGGAUGUUGGAUCAUCAUGAAUAGUUAUUUGUUUUAGGUAAUGUUUUUGUUGUUUAUUUAUCUUAUGAUAGGAUAUAUGAUUACUCAUGGGAUAUUUUGACUCAUGAUAAUCCUUGAUAUGCUUCUUACCAGAGGAAGGGAGACUAGAGCUUCUCGGAUCUCUUACAAUUGAAAUGAAUUAUAAUACUUAAGAUUGAUUUUCUUUAUUCUAUACUAACAUGACUUAAUAUAGCCUUACAAAUACUAACAAAUCUGAAAACAAAUCAUAAAUUGCUAAAUCAACAUGCAUGGAAAGAAAUAAUAAACGUGGAUGUAAAUCAGAAAAUAAAUAAUUUAAUGUUAAAUACAAUAUUAAAUGCAAUGUAGAGGAUCGAACGUAUCAAUCCCCUCUCCCUCGGAAGACAGUCCGUCCUCGGAUUUCUAAGAACUCCACGAUGUUUACUCCGACCGCGUUCAAACUCCACCUCCUGAUCAGGGUGUUUACUACACACUCUACAUCAGCCACCGGUUGUUUGCCUUUGACCUGCAAAAGGAGUUCUUGGAGAGAUGCUUGGAGCUUUGCCGUCUCUUCGCGGGAAGCAGCGAUCUCAAUCGCCUGGAGUUGGAAUGAUUCGUCGACGUUCUUCUUAAAGUCGUCAAUGUUGUUCAUACCAGCACGAGAGCUACCUCGUCCUACCAUAGAGAGAGAGAGAACGGUGAUUCCCUUUGAUACGCUUCGUACCAGGGGAGGGGAGACCAGAGCUUCUCAGAUCUAUCUCAUUGAAAGCACCAAUUGAUACGCUUCGUACCAGGGAAAGGGAGACCAGAGCUUCUCGGAUCUCUUACAAUUGAAAGAAAUUAUAAUACUCAAGAUUGAUUUCCUUUAUUCCAUACUAACAUGGCUUAAUAUAGCCUUAUAAAAACUAACAAAUCUGGAAACAAAUCAUAAAUUGCUAAAUCAACAUGCAUGGAAAGAAAUAAUAAACGUGGAUGAAAAUCAGGAAAUAAAUAAUUUAAUGUUAAAUACAAUAUUAAAUGCAAUGUAGAGGAUCAAACAUAUCAAUCCUUGUCAUUCUCAAGAUAAUAUUCUUGAAGUUGUGUAAGUUUCACUAAUUUCCUCCCAUGUAAGCUUGUUUUUUGUUUAUUUGGAGGUACUGAAAUCUGUUUUUCUAGAACCCUCUGGUUACUGUCUAUUCUAGUAUCUGAAUUAUUUUCUAUUUGAUAGUUAUCUAAUUGAUUUUGAUCAGUUUCAGCAUACUUAUUUGGCUAUCUGAACCAACUUGUUGCUGAUUUGUUCUUGAUUCUGUUUGUAUAUUAUUUGUGUUUUGAGAACUGUUGUUAUUAUCUUCAUUUGUUAUUAUAUUUUGGUGUUUUUCAUUACAAAACUCCAAUGAAUUUUGUGUGUUUGAACAAGAUUUAUGCUGAUUAUUUUCAACCAUAUCUGAAUACUCUUGACACAUUGUGUUUACUAUAUUUUGUUGUUUUUCAGCAUAAAAAUCCACUGAAUUUUGUGUGUUUGAAUAGGAUUUGUGCUGAUUAUUUUCAGCCAUAUCUGAGUACUCUUGACUCAUUGUGUUUUGGGUAUUUAACUGAAAAUUUUCAUCAAUUUGAGCAUCUUUGGAUGCUUGUGGUGUUUACUCAUUUGUUUGACCUGUUUUGUGUUUUUCAACACUGUCUAAACCUCUGUAAUUUCUUUUAUUACAGUGUUCAGACCCAACAGGUUGCCCUGGGUCACUUAUAUUUUCAUAUAUAGGAUUUUCUUCAAUGCCUGUCUGCAUUCUACUUUUAUUCAGAUCAGGUAUGAUUGAUCUUAUCUCAUUAGAAUUUAAUAUAUUGUUUUCUUUAGAUAUAAAAGUUUCUAAUUUUUUAUUUUUUGUAGAAUUAUUUUCAGACCCUGAAGUGUCUUUGUUUUCUUUAAUUUUAUAAUCAUACAAUCUAAUUAUAGAAUUCUUGAAGUGACUUUGAGUUUUGGUUUUGAGGGUUUUUAUCCUCAAUUUUAUUAUUUUUAAAUGGGAAAAUAUUUUCCCUAAAAACUACAUUCCUGGAAAUAUGAAAUUUUUUACUUUCCAAGUCUAAUACCAAAUAUCCUUUUGUAUUAGAUGGAUAUCCCAUAAAAACUCUUCUAAAAGUUCUUGGUGAAAACUUAUAUUCUCUAAUAUUGGUUGAUGCAUAACACAAGCAACCAAAAGUCUUAAGGUUGUCAUAAUUUGGUGUUUGAUUGUUUAAAACUUCAUAUGGUGUUUUAUUUUCUAACACCUUUGAGAGAGUUCUAUUAAUUAUAUGAGUUACUGUCAAGAUACAUUCCUCCUAGUAAAUUAAUGGGAUUCCACCUUGAAUAUUAAUGCAGAGAUCUAGCUAUUUCAAGUAUGUGUAUAUGCUUUCUCUCUAUUAUACCAUUUUGUUGUGGUAUAUAUAGUGGUGUAUCCAGGAUUCCUUGACAGGGAGGGAGCCAAGAUUCGUCGAAGGCGGAAAAAAUUUUUUGUACUAAUUAAAGAACCUAUACAAAUUUUGGCAUGACCUAUUCAUAUAAUUGAUUAUAAAAACCUACAAAAAAUCAAUACAUUUAUUCCAUAAUUAAUAUUCAAUACAUUAAUUAAUAUUCAAAUUAAAAAUAAAUACAUUCAUUUAAUUAACAAUAAAAAUUUCAAAUACAUUUUACAUUACUUCAAUGUCCUACGACGAAGACACGCAUCAUUAAAUAUUUUUAAAAUAACUUCGUUGUCUAUAGUUGUUUCUUGAUUUUUUCCUUGUCCAGUAUUUAACUCUUCCAUAUCCAAAAGGUUUUUGCAAUACUAUCAACUUGUUUUUCUCGAAGGCCGGAGGCCAGAGAAGAUGGAUUUGUGGGAAAACGGGGGAGAAGGGGGUUUGAAGAUUUGUGAAACGUGGGGCAGUGGGGGAGAAGAGGGAGAGACUAGAGAGAUUAAUAUAUUGUGAAAUUUAUAUAUUAACCCUUAAAAAAUAUUAAUAUAUUGUGAAAAUUACACUUAACCCCCUAUAAAAAAAUUAUUACAUAUAGGUCUUCGAUUUUUUUCUAACUUUUAAGGGGGGCAAUUGCCCUCCCUUGCCCCCUGGAUACGCCACUGGGUAUAUAUGGAUAAGAUAGUUGGUGAGUUAUACCAUAUUCUUCUACCAUUUGUUUAAAAUAAUUUGAGGUAAACUCACCUCCAAUGUCACUCCUGAUUAUUUUAACAUUCUUGUUAAAAAGGGUUUUUAUUUUAAUUAAUUUUUUUUUAAUGCAAUCUAUGGUCAUAUCUUUGGUUUUUAAUAAGAAAGUCCAAGUAACUCUACUUAGAUCCUCCACAACAGUUAAGAAAAAUUUGAAUCCAUCAUGAGUUAUAAUUGGGAAUUUACCCCAAAUAUCUAUAUGGAUUAGAUUAAAAAUAUUUUAAGACUUUGAUAUGCUAGUUUUGUAUUUUAAUUUAGCUUGCUUAGCAAGUGGGCAUAUAUCACAACUUUCUUUUAUUUUACAAAGACUUUUAUUUAUUUGAGAAAAAUAUUUAUUAUUCAUAUUAUCAUUAUCAUUAUCAAAAAUUGUUUUACAAUCAGUACUUAAAGAAUCUGAAACACAUUGAUUCUUAGAAUUUAAUUAGGAUGUUAUCUUUGAUAAAAAGCUUCAUCUUCUCUGGUGAGAUAUGUCCUAGACUCUUGUGUCAGGUCUCAAAAUUGAUAGAUGUAUAUGCAAAGUCAGAGGAUUGUGGCUUUAGAAAGUAAAGGCCAUUUUUGUAUUCACCCUGCUCAAUCACUCUCCACUACUGGUGAGACAUGUCUGAUUACGUCAGUCACUCACAGCAAUGCCCUUCAACAAGGACUAGAGUUCCGUCGCUUUAUGUCGGACCCCCGGAGAGUUCCACAAAUGCGGAGGAAGUGUCUACGUCAAGUACUCAAGGCAACACCUGGAAAUCGCCGACUGGGACUACCAAGUCGCCGAUUCCAGGGGUGAAUCGCCGACUCUAGGCCUCGUGGUCAGUUCUGGUAGACUGCCAACUUGGCUCAUGGGGAGUCGGAGACUACACCUCUGAAUCGGCGACUCCCAUAUCUGAGUCGUCGAUUCCCAGCCGUUACUUGGGAGGGCCCACGUUAUUAUGACACCCUUAAUUGGGCACCAUAAUGGAGUGGGCCUCACGCUAAUGAAUGAGGAAACGUCCCCCAAGACCCUAUAAAAGGGGUCCUUGGGGGUCCUCUACUCCCAAGUCAUUCCCACUUGACACACACCCAACCAGAGAACUAAAGAGCCCGAGUCACCGACUCCCACAUCUGAGUCGCCUACUCCCCUUCACUUUUGCAGGUAUUUGACGUAGAGCGCGCGUCGUGGACUCCAAAGCCUCUGGCCUUCCUCGCAACCCUUCGAGCCUACUGGUAGCAGAUUUCGUGCUUCAUCAACUACAAAAAAAGGACCUUGUAUGACGGUCUUUAGAUGGCGGAUUUCCGCCAUUAAUAAUUCAAUUGUUUUGAUAGUGGACAUCCGCCAUCUAUAUUCUUUGAAUCCGCCGAGAAAAGGUUUUGGCUCGACGGCGGUUCAAAAUUACUUUCGAUGGCGGUCUUUAGAUGGUGGAAAUCCGCCAUCUAAACACUCCCGCCCAAAAUUUCGAUUCCCCCCAAUAGUAAACCCGAUUACCCGAUUAAAUUAACUUAACAUGGAGGACGUCCACCAUGUUAAGUAUUCGAGGACGUCCGCCCAAAUUUCGUUUGAGCGGACUUUCACUUAAGUGUUGGCGAUACUUAAGUGUACUUACAUGACGAAAAUCCGCCAUGUAAGUUUUGGGGUUUAUUAAAAACCCCAAAUCAGAACAGAACGCGUCUGUUCUCCCAAAGCUGCCGCCGACGCCUGCCGACUUCUGCCUGUCCGCCGCCCGCCGCUGCUCGUCGCCGGUCACGUCGCCGUUCUCCACUCCCAGUCGCCGUGUCCUCGCCGGUAGCCGAUCUCCACUUCGAUUCCUCCACUGUGAUCGAAGGUUUGUUCUCCUUUUUGUUUUUAUUUCCUUUUUGUUUUUGUUUAUGAUUAUUGUGUUAAUAAGAUUUAUUGAUGAUUGGGUUUAAUUUAUUUGAAGGUAUGAUUAUAUAUAAACUCAUUUGUUGAACUUAUCUUAAAUUUGUUGAUUUCAAUUUUUGUUUUUGUGUUUUGUAUCUGUUGAUUGUGUUUUGGUUGAUGAUUAUGGUUUGUAUAUUUGUUGAUUGUGUUUUUGUGUUUUGGUUGAUGAUGAACUUAGAGUUUGUAAAUCAUUGUUUGAAUGUGGUUGCUUUAUUUAUUUUAGGGUUAUAUAUCUUUGAACAUGAAUGUGGUUUGAAAACCCAACAUUGGAUUGGAG